rnacentral:lncRNA from 1 species
CAGCACUAUGAGGAACACCAUCUUUCAGCUGAUGAUUCACACACUGGAUCCUCUUGGAGAGGUGAAAUUUAAAGACAAGGCUCAGAUUUUGAACGACAUGGCCCGGGGGAAAGUAGAGAACAAAAAGAAGGAAAAAUCUGGUGAAGGUGACGAUCAGACGGAACAGUCCAAGGAUUCCAAAGACGCAGCUCCAGGAGCCAAGGAAGAAGACGCUAGUCAAAAGCCUGAGGCACAAAAGGAAGGAGACACUGCAGCAGGAGGAGGUUCAGAGAAGCCAGGAGGUUCAGAUGAUUCAGGGGAUGAUGAAGAUGACAGUGAUGAAGACAGCGAUGAAGACAGUGAUGAUGAUGAUGAAAAUGAGGAUGAGGC